GCGCGCUUUUGUACAAAAUAUUCAUUCGUUUACAGCAAAGUACCGGCGGUAAAUGCUGUUGAUUGUAAGCACAUUUAUAAAAGAAAAAUAUAUGAGUUUACUUAUUAUUUUCAUGUUUGAACAAAAAAAUUAAAGAAAAUCUUAUUUUUUCACAUCUGAACAUAGAAUUUCGGAUUUCGAUUUUCUGCACUAUAGAAUUAAAUAGCGAUAUUAAAAAGGGG
rnacentral:lncRNA from 1 species